rnacentral:rRNA from 1 species
AACGAACGCUGGCGGCAUGCCUAACACAUGCAAGUCGAACGAGACCUUCGGGUCUAGUGGCGCACGGGUGCGUAACGCGUGGGAACCUGCCCUUAGGUUCGGAAUAACUCCCCGAAAGGGGUGCUAAUACCGGAUAAUGGCUUCUGACCAAAGAUUUAUCGCCUUUGGAUGGGCCCGCGUUGGAUUAGCUAGUUGGUAGGGUAAAAGCCUACCAAGGCGACGAUCCAUAGCUGGUCUGAGAGGAUGAUCAGCCACACUGGGACUGAGACACGGCCCAGACUCCUACGGGAGGCAGCAGUGGGGAAUAUUGGACAAUGGGCGAAAGCCUGAUCCAGCAAUGCCGCGUGAGUGAUGAAGGCCUUAGGGUUGUAAAGCUCUUUUAACCGGGAUGAUAAUGACAGUACCGGGAGAAUAAGCCCCGGCUAACUCCGUG